CUGGCUAAGCACCGCGCGGCCUGUCAGCAGGUGUAAACGACCAACAGCGCUCGUCCAGACUUGGGAGUCUGCCAGGCACAGAUGUGUUCAGUCAGAUGACUAAUUGAAAACCUUAAACAAAACCAGCAGCUUGGCUAUUUCUCCUGCAUAAUGAAGCGGCGCCGAUAAAGGCUGAGCAAAACCACCCCGCUCAUCAACGCUGCCAUUAACAAUCAGGAGCAAAGAUGAAAACAACGCAUGGUUUAUUCUGCAAAUGAAAGCCUAUAGCUAGAUGGCAUCCCAGGAGUCCGUUUGCAAUUUUAAUAAUACAUCAAGGAGAGUUCUCGGAGCAAACAGAUUUGACGUAGUAGCCGAACGCAACAAACUACUUCCAGUUCUACCACACGGAGAGACAACUCCCACCGCUAUGAAUUUAGCAAAUUUAUAAAGGACAGAAACAUAUUGCUGGCCAUCAGAAGGCAGUGUUGCCCAGCACAGAUUUGGAAGUAACCAUCUGAGAAGAAUAUACUGUAAAUAAAUAUAGGAUCACAAUAUACUGAAAGAUUAUAUUUCUAAUAAAGAAAAUAAACUUUCCACUAGUCCUCCUGGGCCAAGAAACAUUCCAGACAGAUGAGUGGGAGUCACAGUAUCAGUUACUUUUUCAACCUCUCCCUGCAAUGUUUUGUGAAAUUGAAACUUAAAAUUCCGAAGCCCCAUUUUUUGACGUCUAGAACUGUUUGAAUUUUGAUUAGGCUGCCGAGGGUGAAGCCUAUUCUGCCUUAUUUACAGAGAUGGUGAAAAAGUACUCUGGUGUAUGAAGAAAAUGUGACCAAGAAAAAGAGAGGGAUAAAAGAGUUUAUGAAUAACAUGAGGAAAAUUGAUCUCGGCCUCUCUGACCCUGUUGCCCUGAAAUCAGUUUAGGAGCUCAUCUAUGGAAAUUCUUCAAUGAAAUGAAAGUUGUUUUGCCAACUCCUCAUUUUGGGCCUGCUACAGUUGAAGCAAGCAUGUUGCACGGAGGCCUGGCUGACGUUAAGAUUACUU